UACGGAGGGUGCGAGCGUUGUCCGGAAUCACUGGGCGUAAAGGGCGCGUAGGCGGCAUGCCAAGCGUGUGGUGAAAGCCCGGGGCUCAACCCCGGGUCGGCCGCUGCGGCACUGGCGUGCUCGAGCACUGUAGGGGCGGGUGGAAUUCCGGGUGUAGCGGUGGAAUGCGUAGAGUAUUCGCAAGAACACCAGUGGCGAAGGCGGCUCACUGGCCCGGUACUGACGCUGAGGUGCGAAAGCGUGGGGAGCAA
rnacentral:rRNA from 1 species